rnacentral:rRNA from 1 species
UACGUAGGGGGCUAGCGUUGUCCGGAAUCAUUGGGCGUAAAGAGCGUGUAGGCGGUCCGGUAAGUCCGCUGUGAAAGUCGGGGGCUCAACCCUCGAAUGCCGGUGGAUACUGUCGGGCUAGAGUGCGGAAGAGGCGAGUGGAAUUCCUGGUGUAGCGGUGAAAUGCGCAGAUAUCAGGAGGAACACCGGUGGCGAAGGCGGGUCUCUGGCCCGGUACUGACGCUGAGGCGCGAAAGCGUGGGGAGCAAACAGG